UGGGAGGGGGGCAUUCAGUGGAAGCUGCAGACUCUGCAGUCAGACCUGGAUUCAAAUCCCACCACUCAGAGUGUGAUCUCGGGAGGGCCCUUUGCUGCCCUGAGCCUUUUCCCUGUGUGAGGAGUAAACAGGCUGAUGAGUAAGAGGGGUCACCCUUAGUGAGUGCUUUUAUUCCGUCUGUGCCAGGACUUAUCUUGGAUAACAUUUGCAGUGACCUUAUGAGGUAAGGAUGGCCACUUGGAACCCUUGAAGCUGUGAGUCCCCUUGACUUCCUCCCAGGCACUGCCCUCCCAGAAGUGAAGGUACCAGGAGGCAGAGGAAACAGUAGCACCACGGUGCCAUCCUGGAUCCAACGGAGCAGGUGACAGACAGCAGGGGUCACAGGCAGGCCAACUUGGACUGAGGAAAAAAAAGUCGCAGGAAAGCAGCUGGGCAUCCUGCCUUGCUUCGCCCUUGGACUUCUGCAGGGUCCGUUUGCCCUUUGUUUGACUCCCAGACCCCACUGAGCUGGGAACCAACCAGUGGGCUGGAAGCCCAGGAUGGGGUGGCCCACCUAGUAGGGACGACAUUUACUUGCACAAAAGAUGGUCUCCAGGAGCCCCUUCAGGACCGAAGCAGGGAAACACUGUCGCCCUGGAGAGCUGGGAGAGGGGGAGGCAGCAGCAGUCGCUGGCCAGAGAGGGGCGAAACAGAGCUCAGGGUCCCUGCAGCGGGUGGGGGAAGCUCAGGUCCAGGUGGGCUUUGUGUUCCUUGAGGUUCUCCGCCAAGGUUCUGCUUCAUCAGGCCUCUGCCGAGUUCUCUGGCCUCACCUGUCCACCGCUGCUCCGUGCAGCCACCUUUCCCCUGCUCCCCAAGGUGCGUCCAUUUCUGAGUUUCCCUCCUCUGGACCUGUGACCAUGCCAUCCCUCCUGCCUGGACUGCCUCCCAGUCUCUCAGUAGUACCACCUCCAGGUUCAGCUUGUGGUUCCGGCUGGUGGGUGUGCCACAGCCAGACGCUGUGCUCAGCGGGGAUACCCUAACCCUGGGUGAUCUGGGGUCACUCCCGUCAACCUGGGGGGCUCUGCAGGCAGGGAAGAGCCUCCUGGGUCUCUGCUCCAGCCCUGGCUUUACACAAAUGUGCCUGAGAAAACACGGUGUCCUGACACCUGGCCUCAUGCCACCUGGUGACGGCAUCUGAGCCAUCACCAGUGAUCAUUCACCCCUUUUCCCUUUUCCAGACAGCACGAAAAUCCAACACGCCCCUCACCGGAGGACUGGGAGGCUCCCGCGUUUUGGAUUCUGAAAAGCACUCCCUCGUUCACGUCUGCCUGGAUUCGCGCCCUCAAGCCCCCUGGCGCCCACUUUUCUUGCUCUCCAAACACUCGUUGAGGCCCGAGAGGGAGAUGCGAAGUUUGCCCACCACUGCGCGUCCCUCCUCCGCGAGGCGCCAAUGGGCCUGAGUCAGGGGCCUCCCCUUCAUCCGCUGGUCCCUCCCCUGUUCCCAGCUCCAGUUCCUCACCCGCUAUGGCUGGCCUGGCGCCUGUGGCCGUUCACCGUCUGCGAGGCAUCUGCGGGGACUGAAGUCGGGGAGGCAGCGGCGGGCUCUGGCAGAUACCAGGAGAUCCCGCCCCUCGGCCCGGGAGACCCCGCCCCUCGGCCACGCCCCUUUCCGCUCCCCACCCCGCCCUCUUGGGCCCCCCACCCGGCCCAGCCAGACAGAGACCUGCCUCCAGGUGGGUGGGAGGAGACCUUCAGUCCCUCGCCCCGGGCCUGUUGUCACUACCUCCCCCAAACACAUUGGUUAAAGUCACCCGAUUAGAAGGGGCCACCUGUGAGACUUGGAUCCAAAGCAAACUAGCGGAAGCUGAAGGGUCUUGGGGCUUCCCAGGCCUCUCGGAGGCCGGGAUGGUCGUGGAGGAGGGAGCGCUCAGUGCCUGGCCUACUGCCUGCCCUGAGCCGGCUCCCUACAGGACGCUUCUCCUGUACCUUCCACCUGCUGCGAGGAAGGGCUGGGGGCAGGCGUACCCAUUUUCCAGAGGAGAACUGAAGGCUCUCACCCCGGGUUAGGCCAGUGGCCGGAGGCAGAGCCGGGCCUUGAACCUGGCUUUCUGGAUCUUCAUCCAGGCCAUUCUAAAGGGGAUCACAGUUUCCAGGAGUCACUCCUGAAGAUGGUCAAGUACCAUGGAGGGGCAGGGCAUCCAUGGACCCUGAUUUGAGGCCCCGGAGCAGUUGGGACUGGUUUGGGCCACGGCUGGCCUAAUCUCCCCUCCACAGAGCCUGGGCAUUGUCCAGUUGGCAGCCAAGAGCCAUCUAUCCACUUUACAGCGGGCAGCUUUGACAGGCUGCUUGUUUCCAAGGACAAAGCCUGCAGGCUGUGGAAUGUUGAGAAUCACCUCUUUCUCUCAGGGACAUAAAGCAUGGCUGUGAGAGAGAUUUGUGAGUGUUGGGGUCACUGUAAUUACUCUCUGAGGGUGCCUGUCUUGAGCUCUGUAGACAAAGUGGGAUCCCUUCCCCUCUCUCAUACCCCUACAAACUUUGGGCCUCGAGUAUCCAGGAUGGGCCCAGAACCAGCACUGGCACAGCCUCCUCUCUGGCCUGAUCCAAGCCCUCUCCCACACAGCAGUCAGGCUGAUCUUCCUAAAAUUUCCGUCUAUUGAGCUUACAUUAAAAUAAUAAUAAUAAUAAUAAUAAUAAUAAUAAUAAUAAUAAUAACAACAUUUCUGUCUGAUUUUGUCUCUCCUCUGCUCAAAAUCCCUCUGUGGAUCCCUAGUGCCUCCAGGAGAAAGUCCACCCUUCCUCUCACGGCUCACCCAAUCUACCCCAGCCGUGGCUCCUCCCUCACUGUGCCUCUUCCCCUUACCUUCUAGCCAGAGUGAAAUCCCCAGGCCUCUGCGUGCACCAUUCCCUCUGCUUAGGAAUAGGCAGACCUGCCCCCAGGUCUUUUCUGGUUCAUUUCCACUUAUCCUUCAGGUUUCUAGGAUGCUUUCCCUGACCUCCACUUAAAUUGGCUCAGGAGUUCCCUGAUCUCCACAAAUGUCAGGAACUUGUCCACCCGCCUGCCCCCAGCACCCAGGUUACACCUGACAAAGUAAGCGCUUUGGAAUGCUCCAACAGACCUAGUCAUACCAUACCCGG
rnacentral:lncRNA from 1 species